rnacentral:rRNA from 1 species
UUGAAGAGUUUGAUCAUGGCUCAGAUUGAACGCUGGCGGCAGGCCUAACACAUGCAAGUCGAGCGGUAGCACAGAGAGCUUGCUCUCGGGUGACGAGCGGCGGACGGGUGAGUAAUGUCUGGGAAACUGCCUGAUGGAGGGGGAUAACUACUGGAAACGGUAGCUAAUACCGCAUAAUGUCGCAAGACCAAAGUGGGGGACCUUCGGGCCUCAUGCCAUCAGAUGUGCCCAGAUGGGAUUAGCUAGUAGGUGGGGUAAUGGCUCACCUAGGCGACGAUCCCUAGCUGGUCUGAGAGGAUGACCAGCCACACUGGAACUGAGACACGGUCCAGACUCCUACGGGAGGCAGCAGUGGGGAAUAUUGCACAAUGGGCGCAAGCCUGAUGCAGCCAUGCCGCGUGUGUGAAGAAGGCCUUCGGGUUGUAAAGCACUUUCAGCGGGGAGGAAGGCGAUAAGGUUAAUAACCUUGUCGAUUGACGUUACCCGCAGAAGAAGCACCGGCUAACUCCGUGCCAGCAGCCGCGGUAAUACGGAGGGUGCAAGCGUUAAUCGGAAUUACUGGGCGUAAAGCGCACGCAGGCGGUCUGUCAAGUCGGAUGUGAAAUCCCCGGGCUCAACCUGGGAACUGCAUUCGAAACUGGCAGGCUAGAGUCUUGUAGAGGGGGGUAGAAUUCCAGGUGUAGCGGUGAAAUGCGUAGAGAUCUGGAGGAAUACCGGUGGCGAAGGCGGCCCCCUGGACAAAGACUGACGCUCAGGUGCGAAAGCGUGGGGAGCAAACAGGAUUAGAUACCCUGGUAGUCCACGCCGUAAACGAUGUCGAUUUGGAGGUUGUGCCCUUGAGGCGUGGCUUCCGGAGCUAACGCGUUAAAUCGACCGCCUGGGGAGUACGGCCGCAAGGUUAAAACUCAAAUGAAUUGACGGGGGCCCGCACAAGCGGUGGAGCAUGUGGUUUAAUUCGAUGCAACGCGAAGAACCUUACCUGGUCUUGACAUCCACAGAACUUUCCAGAGAUGGAUUGGUGCCUUCGGGAACUGUGAGACAGGUGCUGCAUGGCUGUCGUCAGCUCGUGUUGUGAAAUGUUGGGUUAAGUCCCGCAACGAGCGCAACCCUUAUCCUUUGUUGCCAGCGGUCCGGCCGGGAACUCAAAGGAGACUGCCAGUGAUAAACUGGAGGAAGGUGGGGAUGACGUCAAGUCAUCAUGGCCCUUACGACCAGGGCUACACACGUGCUACAAUGGCAUAUACAAAGAGAAGCGAC